GGGGAAAGAAAGGGUGAAACCCUACCUGUUCAAUCAAGGUCAAAAUUCAGCAAAUUAAUGGUGGAAUCACAUUAGCAAGGACUCGAAAAUGGAAGGUUAACGGGUCAAGCAGAGGCGAGGAAACAAGCGUGAACACUAACGCUCGAGGUAAGUGACUUUCGAUUCACUUCUUAGUAUACAUAUAGAGUUUUCUUGUUAUGGUUGAAUGGGAUGAUUGAUGUAUAUAAAAUGGCCGACAAGUAGGUAUGUAUGAAUGCAUUUAGGAAAAUUACGUAAGUACAUGCACGUGUGAGCUAAGGUAUGCACGGGUGUAGUUAUGAUUCAUUUUAUGAAUGUAUGUAAGUAUGGAGUUAUGUAUGCAUGUAUGUAUAUAUGUAGGUAUUGGUGUAUGUAUGUACGUAAGUAGUUAUGUAUGAGCAUGAGCAUUAUGUAUUUGAAUAUGAAAGUACAUACGUGUGUAGGUACGAACGUAUAUAUAUAUGUGGAUGCAAGUAAGUAUGUAUGUAUGUAUGUGAGUAGGUAUGUGUGUAUGUAGUUAUGUAUGUAUGUAUGUAAAUACAUAUGCGAAGAUGUAAUCAUGUAUGUAUGUAAUUAGAUGCGUGGGUAUGCAAGUAAAGGUAUGUAUGUAUGUAGAUGUGUAUUAUGCGUAUGCGAAGAUACGUAGGUAUAUAUGAAUGUAUGUAGAGAAGUAGUAAUGCAUGCGCGAAUGUAGAUAUGGGGUUGGUAUAGAAGAAGGUACGUAUGAGUAUAUGUAGGUAUGUAGAAAUAUAGGAGCACAUGUACGUAUGUAGACGCAUAUGUAUACAUGUAAACAUGUACAUGUGCAUGAUUUAGAUACGUAGAAUUUUAACGUUACUAAUUAUGCGUUUGAGGUUGGUAUGUGAUGCAGGAACAAGUACACCGGAUUCUUACGAAACUUAAACCGAACCCGGAAUAAGAGGAUGAGAAAGAAUAAUUGGAUGAAUUAAUGUUAAAUUGACGAACGUUAUUCAAUCUUUAAUUACAUGAUAUUAAUGUUAUAUGAUGUUGCCUUUGACUAAUGGUUAAGUUGUAUGUGAUGCCCACAGGUGUUACACGGACUUCUUCUGCUGCUAUGGAAGUGAAGCGGACGUAGAUCGAGUCAAGAGCAAGGAUUGUACGGAUAGAUUGGUCACAUAGUUGAAGUAUAUAACGUUUAGAAAUCUAAAUUUUAGUAUGAAUGUUGUAAAUUCUUUUAUAGUACGUUUAACAUUUUUAGGAUUUGGAUCCUUCGUGAAAGAAAUGUUGUUAAUACGGAAGAAAAUUUUAAAGCUCU
rnacentral:lncRNA from 1 species